CUGACAAUACAUCAGAAGGAGAAUCAUUUGCUUCCAGAUCACAGUUGAUCUUGCCAGAGGAAGCAAAACUGUGGAUAAUGGGAGGCUAUGGGUCCUGAGGACUCUCUUCUCUCUCUCACACAUCAAGAGGACAUAGGUAAUGGAAUGCCUGAAGCCUUCUCUAAGACAGACUCAUGUGUGAGUGACCAAAGGUAAAACAAACAAGUAAAGAGAUGCUUCACUGUCUUACGUUCACAUUCUCUGACAUCCAAGUUGAACUGCUGUAAUGCUCCCAAGGUUAAAGGUCAACUUCAUCAAGUCAUCUCAUUAACACAGAAAUGUCUUUGAAGGUAUUCAGUCUUUGCCAUGCUUGACAUUUCACCAGACUGCAACCAAGAUGCCAAAGAAUCAGAUUCAUAUAUUAAUGAGCAAAAGGUCACAAUGAGUAUUUAUUUGUGUUACCUUUGCCAAACCCAAGCCAACCAUUUUACCCAGCCUGUCUGGGGAUGUAUAAGAAAAGGAACGUGCAGGGAAGACAAGACAAAGAAGAAAGGCCCAGGCGAAUUGAAGAUGGCUCCUUCACAUUUUGAAGAGGAUGAGAAGGGCCACCAUGAGGCAAAAGAGCCCCACAGUGUCCAAGAGGGAACAGCCCAAAAUGGAGUAAGAGAAGAGCUGUUGCUUCAGAGAAGUGUUUCUGCUAUAACCAAUGAUGAGGCUCCCAAACACAGUCCCAAUUUCAGCCCCAGAGCCAGCCACCCCUACCGCGGCUGCCUCAGCCCCAAGAACCUAGCUGCUUGUGUGAAUGUCCCCUUUAAAUAAUGCCAGUUUGGAAGCUGUGGCUAGGAAUAGGUGAAGUUAAGGUACAAUGGGACCCCCAAGCUGUUCUGGCACCACUGCAGACAGUGAUUGGCUCAUGAACUGACACUGCUUCUGACCAAGCAGGGGAUGGAGAGAACUUUAUGCAGGGAUACAUUUCCAAAGGAUGAGGGGUUGUGGUUCAAGAGCAGUACCCAAUGCCACGAAGAUAGGGACAACACAGGUUACACUUUCUUCUUCCCUUGCACUGUUACUAUUUUAUUUCCAUUUAAAAAAUAUAUUUGCUUUAUUAUUUUAUGGGACUGGAGGGUUAGAGGACAUGUGUACCUAGUCUAUCUUGAUCAUGUACAUUUUUUACUGGUAGUAUUUUAACUCAAUAUCUAAGGAUUCUCCUGUAUGGCUCCUGAGUUUUUUACCACAAUAUGAAAAUCUUCACUACAUUUUCUUCUAAUACAUUUGUGACUUUUAAAAAUCAUAUAUUUAAAUCUUGGUGUAGAUGAAGUGAAAGGAAUUUUCUCCCACAAAAUCUACUGAUACAAUAUUUAUUCCAUAAUCCAUCCUUGUCCCCAAUGAUCUGAAAUAUAUUUAUCAUAUAUUAAAUUCCCAAAUAGUCUUGGCUCUAUUUCUGCAUUAACUACUCUACUCCAUGGAGCUAUAUAUUUAUAUCCCUGCAAGUUCAACCUCCCAAACUAGGCAAGAAAAGUGCAUUCUCUCUAAUUUCCUUUCUUAGAACUUAACUGAUCAUUACUUCCCUCAUAUUCUUUCUUCCAGAUAAAUUUUACAUAAUGGUAAUAAAUCCAGUGCAAAUCCCACUGGGAUUUUUAUUGUGUUGCUUUGGAUUAAUGGAUAAUUGACAUUUUUACAAAUACCUCAUUGUAUGAAAAGAUUAUGACA